UACGGGGGGGGCAAGCGUUGUUCGGAAUUACUGGGCGUAAAGGGCUUGUAGGUGGCCAACUAAGUCAGACGUGAAAUCCCUCGGCUCAACCGGGGAACUGCGUGUGAUACUGGCGGGCUUGAAUUCGGGAGAGGGAUGUGGAAUUCCAGGUGUAGCGGUGAAAUGCGUAGAUAUCAGGAGGAACACCGGUGGCGAAGGCGGCUUCCUGGACAAUUACUGACGCUGAGACGCGAAAGCGUGGGGAGCAAACAGG
rnacentral:rRNA from 1 species